CUUUAUGACCCCUGCCACGUGAAGGCUGCCAUCCAAAAAGUGCGACUACUGAGUGAAGGCAUUACAGCCAGCAGCUGCACAAAGACAUUGGAGUUGAGCAGAGAUCUCAGAUCCUUAAGUGAUCAAUUUUGCUUCAAAAUCGUCUCACUCCCUUUUCAUAAAGCAACCACAGAAAGAUGGCCAGUACCCAUGAGCAGGAUGAAGCACAGCAGCACAAAGGCAGAGGGACAAAUGGAAAACCAGAAUUCACAUCUGAGUGAUACUGCAAGGCUUUGGAAGUGCAGUCUGAGGGAGGGAAAGGAUUUGAGCCCUUCACAGCAGAA